UACAGAGGUCUCAACCGUUGUUCGGAUUCAUUGGGCGUAAAGGGUGCGUAGGCGGUCGUGCAAGUCGGAUGUGAAAUCUCAGGGCUCAACCCUGAAACUGCAUUCGAUACUGCGCGGCUAGAGUCGCUGGGAGGGGAGACUGGAAUUUACGGUGUAGCAGUGAAAUGCGUAGAUAUCGUAAGGAAGACCAGUGGCGAAGGCGAGUCUCUGGACAGCAACUGACGCUGAGGCACGAAGGCCAGGGGAGCAAACGGGAUUAGAAACCCCCAGGUA
rnacentral:rRNA from 1 species